rnacentral:tRNA from 1 species
GGCUUAAUAGUUUAGGAAGAAUGAGAGUUUUGUAAUCUUUUGGUACCCUUAUGGGUUUUGGCCA